UACGUAGGGUGCGAGCGUUGUCCGGAAUCAUUGGGCGUAAAGGGCUCGUAGGCGGUCCAUCGCGUCGGGAGUGAAACGCUGGGGCUUAACCCCAGUCCUGCUUUCGAUACGGGUGGACUAGAGGUAGGCAGGGGAGAAUGGAAUUCCUGGUGUAGCGGUGAAAUGCGCAGAUAUCAGGAGGAACACCGGUGGCGAAGGCGGGAUCCUGGGCCAGUACUGACGCUGAGGAGCGAAAGCGUGGGGAGCAAACAGG
rnacentral:rRNA from 1 species